CUUUUUCUGGACGUCUGUCCUUGAUGAUGUUUUUUUCCUAUAGACCUGGAAUCUUUGGAUACAGCUACAGGCUUGGAAAAGCUCAGCUUUAGGAGGAACGUUCACCAUACUUGGAAAUGCAAUGCAUUGGGGAGAGCAUUGGUUGAGUCACCGGGAAUUGGAGUUUGCAAAGCCAGUAGAUGUGCCAUCUACCAUCACGAGUCUCCACUGCCAAGGGAGGCAGGGAGCAUUUCCUGGUAGUUUUGGAUAAACAAAGCACUCAGUGUCUUCAGCAGUCCAGGUCACUGCACUACAGCAGUUCCUGAGAGUGGUUUCCAAGGCUGAUGAAGAGCAGGGAUAUUUUGGAAUCACUGAUUUGUCUGAAAGCAUUUUCAGUGCUUGGAAACCUAACUGCCCUCCUGUUGUACCAUGUACCUACCCACAGAAAUAACAUUUCCUUUCUGAGGUAAAACAGCCUGUCUCAAAUACCAAAUAGUGCCUGGACGUGCUGCUUUGAAAUUAGCUCUUUAAUCACUAUGCUGCUGUGCAGAGUCUGCCUUGGGCACAACUGAAAAUCCACUCCAAAAUAUUUGUCUGCUCACACAUUCUUAAUUACUGGACCUGUCAAAUUUCAGACUUACCAGGUUACCUCUUCAAUCUGUAGUCUCGAAAGAGUGGAUCUAUAGUAAACUGCAUCAAUUUAGUGCAUUUUAAACACAGCACAUUCUUCAGUUAAUAAUCUUUGCAAAAUAAAGAAGUGGAAUACGGGCAUAAUUGUUUUAUAUUAAUUAACAGACUAAACUAUUCUCUCAGAUGUCUGGAGGAGAUACGAGCAUUCCCUCCCUGUCUUGAAUUAUUAGUGUGAUAGAUUUGCAUUUCCAGGAGUCCUUUUAAUGACUUCCUUUCGUAGGAAAAAAAAA